GCCUAAGUUUCCCUAGGUAAUGAGGUAACCGUAGUUAAUGGAUUAACGGAUAGAUCAAUGGAUUUCCCUGGAACAGGAGCAUGUUUACCCUAGGUUGAGGAUUCUAAGUAUGUGCUUAAGGCAAAAGAGAUUCAACGGAUGGAACUCUUAUACUUUCUUCACCGCGUUAGAAGAUAACUUCACUUCCAUUCUUGAUCAUAUUAUAAGAAGGCUUGAUUUGAAGAAUAAUCUCCAUUGGAAAUUUAUGCAAAGAUGCGAACUUCUCAUCCUCUGUAGAAUUUCAUGUGAAUGAAUUUCUUGAAAUUUUACAUUGUUCACUCGAUUCGGUCCUGGAAGGGAUGAGCAAGGGAGGCCUGAUGGUAACAAAUACAACGGUAGCAUCUAUAUGGUCUUUGAAUACAUGGACCACGAUUUGAAGGGUCUUUCUGAUCGUCCUGGUAUGCUAUUCACAAUUCCCCAAAUCAAGUGCUAUAUGAAGCAGCUCUUGACAGGACUUCACUACUGUCAUGCCAAUCAACAACUGCAUCGUGACAUUAAAGGUUAUUAUCAAGCUGACACUCAUUAGUUAUUAGUCUAAUGCGGUUCAUGAAUUUUUCCAGUUUAUAUGAUGUUAGUACUGCAUGCUUUGCACGAUCUAAUCUUCUUAUAGAUAAUGAAGGAAAUCUGAAGCUUGCAGAUUUUGGUUUGGCUCGAUCAUUUUCUAAUGAUCACAAUGCCAAUCUAAUAAAUCGUGUUAUUACCUUGUGACCUCCUGAGUUGCUUCUUGGAACCACCAAGUAUGGUCCUGCUGUUGAUAUGUGGUCUGUCGGUUGCAUCUUUGCAGAGCUUCUUCAUGGAAAGGCCAUUUUGCCUGGAAAGAACGAGGUAAGUAAUUUGCUGUGAACCUGCAAGCUUUUGUUUUGAAGUCAACAAGUCAAGGGAACUAUGAGCCUUCACAUGGACACCACGAUACUGAUAUGUAGACGUGGAAAAGAAGAUGAAAUCAACUAAAUAUCAUAGAUUCAGACCCAGUUUUUCUUACAUUUGGAUUCAGGUAAUGUUAGAGCAUAUGGUGAAUAGGUGUAUUACCACACUUGUAUACUAUACAAGUAUGAUGUACUCAUGAAUCACAACACUUAACUCUCAUCCGCACCAAAGGUCUCUUAUUCCAAUUGUAUACAUACUCUAAGUUGAAUGGUUUAGGAAAUAAUUUUAGUUUCAACCAAAAUAAUAGUUAAGCAGCAUAUUACAUCAAAUGAUUGGGGAAUUUUGGUUAAGAAGGUUAUUAGACUGCUAACUGCGUAAUACACACAACAUCUCGGGUAAAUAAUUUGGGUCCUACACAUCUACUGGUAGUAGCCAAAUACGGUAGUAGUAUAUCAGCUUUUUAUGUACCUAAGCUCAUUUCAAGUCAUUAUCUUCUGUAUGGAGAAGUGCUCUACUUAAUUGUUUUUUAUUUUUAUUUUUUUGAUCAGUUUUGUUCCCUUAUUCAAUCUUUAGUAAAGUAUAAACUUCAAAUCUUACGGAAAAAUCUUAGUCACUCUUAGUAACAAUAGCCCCCUUGAUUUGUUGGAGGGAUCUGUGUCUGAAAAAAAAGUUCAGCUCUUAGUGUAAGUAAACUUUGCAGUCUUUGCUGAAUGUUGAGUCAGUUGUGCUAAAAGUGAUAUGGCUUGUAUAAUUAUCUCAAUAAAUUCAGGAUUGUUAGACUCCCCAUUCAAAGUAUUUUGUGAGUUUUUGCAUCUCCUAUUACGGUUACCUUAACUAAUUUUAUGUUGUUCAUACUCAUCCUACUCUAGGACAUCAUGCAACUGGUUGAUUUCUCACUGUUAUAAUGUCACUUUAGUUAACCUGAUUUAUUUUCAUUUUCAAUUUAAACUUCUCAUGAAUUAUAUGUUUUACGUUCUUGACCAGCUCUAGUUACAAUAUCAUCUCUCUUUUAGUGUAUAUUGUAUAGUAUGUUUCUCUCCUCUUAUAAGGAGUAUGAAUUAUUAGUCUCUACAAUUAGUUACUUUCGGGCAAAAAUUACAUCUUCAGUUUAGAGGUAGUUUGUAUGAGAAUGAAUAGAUAGGAAGCUAUCAUUCUAUAUGCCAAAUGCCUAAUCUUAGAGACAUAUAAGGGAAUGGACCUGACUCUAGUGAGAAAGUGGCUUGUAAACCGCAGUACAUUUUUAGUUUAUACAUUCAACAAGUUUAUUGUUCCCAGGUUUUAUUUUGAUGGUUGCUGCCUGUUGUGUUACUUGUCUAUCAAAUAUUGAAUGGAAUCUAUAUUUUGUCUUCGUAUGUUAUUUUUUUUAUAAUGCCAGUGAUGCCUCUUCUCCUCCAGUGCGUCAUUGUAAGCGUAUGCCCGAAUAUUAUUCGUGUAGGUGUCGCUGAAACUGCAUCUACCAUGGGGAUAGUACGACAUCACCCCAAUAAUGUACAGAUGAGACGGCCUGAAUAAAUUUUUAAGGUGUGGGUUACUCAUGAACUAUAAUUUAUUGUUACCUGUAGGAGCAUUUGUAUGUCUGGUCAAUUUUGGAUUGACCUUGAUGUGUUGUAAUCUGAAUUUAUAA